UGGGGAAUCUUGGGCGAUGGGGGCAACCCUGAUCCAGCCAUGCCGCGUGAGUGAUGAAGGCCCUAGGGUCGUAAAGCUCUUUCGCCUGUGAAGAUAAUGACGGUAGCAGGUAAAGAAACCCCGGCUAACUCCGUGCCAGCAGCCGCGGUAAUACGGAGGGGGUUAGCGUUGUUCGGAAUUACUGGGCGUAAAGCGCACGUAGGCGGACUUUUAAGUCGGGGGUGAAAUCCCGGGGCUCAACCCCGGAACUGCCUUCGAUACUGGAGGUCUUGAGGACGAGAGAGGUGAGUGGAAUUCCGAGUGUAGAGGUGAAAUUCGUAGAUAUUCGGAGGAACACCAGUGGCGAAGGCGGCUCACUGGCUCGAUACUGACGCUGAGGUGCGAAAGGGUGGGGAGCAAACAGGAUUAGAUACCCCCGUAGUCC
rnacentral:rRNA from 1 species